AGUGAUUGUAGUGUGUGUGUUACACUGUCCUCAUAUUGUUUUAAGCUGUGAAGGACAUGAGUGUGUUUCAGUUGCCUUCCUCAUGUGGUUGGAUCAACAACUCUAGUGUGUGUUACACUGUCCUCAUAUUGUUGGUAGCAGAACUGUACAGUGUUAAGUUUCUUUAGAAUCUGGUAUAAGGAAGUCGGAUCCUUCUGUAAUAAUGUUCACUGAUACAAAUAUGAUCUGUAGUUAAUUAUCUAGUCGGGAUUUAUACUAGAGAAUGUUUCUGACGUUAUAUUGUUGUCUUUUGUUGCAGACACCAAGUGCUGAGGUCCUGUCUCAGCCUCAUACUUACCCACUUCAUUCUUCCAACAGACACCAAGUGCUGAGGUCCUGUCUCAGCCUCAUACAGACCAAUCGACACCAAGUGCUGAGGUCCUGUCUCAGCCUCAUACAGACCAAUCGACACCAAGUGCUGAGGUCCUGUCUCAGCCUCAUACAGACCAAUCGACACCAAGUGCUGAGGUCCUGUCUCAGCCUCAUACAGACCAAUUGCUGGGAAGGUGAGAAGCAAGUGGACAAAUGAUGAAGUAAAGGUUGCUGCAAAGUACCAGGUAAAAGGAAUGUGACUGCUGCUUCCAAGCAGAGCCGGCAGCUCGUAAAGGCAGAGACUGGGUUGCCAUAAAGUACUACAUCCACAACAGGAUCAUUGCAUUAAAAGAAAGAUGCAAGGAAAAAAAGAAACAACCAAGAGAGAUACUUUGUUGCUUCCACAGUUAUGUCAAUAUUGUAGUUUUCUGUAUUGCAUUGUUCUUACUCAUAAAUCUG
ensembl:lncRNA